GACGAACGCUGGCGGCGUGCCUAAUACAUGCAAGUAGGACGCAGUUGCGAACGGGUGAGUAACGCGUAGGUAACUGCCUAUUAGCGGGGGAUAACUAUUGGAAACGAUAGCUAAUACCGCAUACUAGUAGAUGGACCUGCGUUGUAUUAGCUAGUAGGUAGGGGAAUGGCCUACCUAGGCGACGAUACAUAGCAGAGCGGAGAGGGUGAUCGGGCACACCUGGACUGAGACACGGCCCAGACUCCUACGGGAGGCAGGCGGAGGGAAUCUUCGGCAAUGGGGGGAAACCUUACCGAGCAACGCCGCGUGAGUUAAGAAGGUUUUCGGAUCUUAAAGCUCUGUUGUUAAGGAAGCGGUACUUAAACAGAAAGGGACGGCUAACUACGUGCCAGCAGCCGCGGUAAUAC
rnacentral:rRNA from 1 species